ensembl:lncRNA SFTA1P surfactant associated 1, lncRNA
AAGCAAACCCAACCCUCUGAGCCUGUGGUUUCCGCAAGUACUGGGGUUAGAGUCAUGAGGGAAGUGUGGGAAAAUGUGGAGUGUCAGUCAAGAGGCAACACUAGGAGGCAAGGAAUCUGCAUUUCUUUCAGACCUUGGCAGAGAGCGCCCUGGGAAAUGCGGAUAUAGAAGGUCAGGAGAACAUCUCUCCUGGUUAUACAGCAUUCCAGGACUCCUCAUCUGUUUUUAAGAGGGAAAUCUGAGUUUUCAAGGAAAGCCGAAUACAGUUGCCAAGUUGCCAGUCAAAGAAACAAUGUCAACACCUGCUCAUAGAGAUGGAAUUCCUAACCCGGAAUAUUGCCCUUGAAUUACAACGAGAAAAAGAACACUUCUUAUUCCUGUAGCACCUCUUCAAGUGAGAUGGCAGACCACCUCAGGAUGGAAAUGUAUUUCUUCAUCCCCCUCUCUACUUCCCUGUGACCUCCUGCAAAUAAGGGAGAGACAAAGAGAAGAGCAGAAGAACAGAAGAAUGGAGUGGCAAAGAGAAGAGAAGGAGUGACUGAACAUUGACAAGACUUUGGUUGGGGAUGGUCAGAGAGGAGAUUAGCUGCUAGACGGCCACACUGCGGAGAAAGAUCAUUUUCCCACUCCAUCCCCCUUCCAGCUCCCCAUCCAUCUCACCAAGAGCCAGCUCCACCACUCAAUAAAACCUUACAUUCAUCUUUCAA